rnacentral:lncRNA from 1 species
AGAUUCCUGGACGCGACGGGCGAGCUUGUGUGGACUGAGCACGUGCUGCAAAUUCAUCGACGGUCAUAGCUGCGGCUGCGUGGAAUAUAGUUGCGAUCUACCUCGAAAGGCAUAUAAGGAAGCUUCAGCAGCGUCUCGGAUCAUUUGGCAGUGGCAGUUGCGGCAGUUGUGCAAGGCCUUAACUCUGCGCUUGUACUUUCAGGUUGCAGAACCACGGGACACGG